CGGGACCGUGGGGCCCGAGAACCCUGGGUCAAGGAAACGCGAUAGAAAUGUUGCCCCCGGGGUCCUUUGCGAAGCAAGAAAUCCUGCAAUAAGUAAAACCUGGCGUCCAGCAGCGUGAGUGGUUCAUGUGGCCUGACUGAGGAUUGGCCAAUCAGCUUCCAAGUUUGAAAUUCCCCUAACUCCUUCAAUUUCGUCGGGGGCGCUGGAUCAGGGGGUAGACCUGAGAGCCUGGGCUCCUGCGUUCUUGCCGGCCAACCCCGCGAUAAGCCUCUUUCUCAUCUCAAAAGCCUGUGCUCUCUCUGGUCCUGGCUUUCAGGCAAGGCAGGCUGGGAGCCUUUGCUCCAUCACGGAAGGCGGUAAAUGCUCGGAUUCCAUCCUGGGUAUGUUAAAAACAAAAACAAAACAGACUUCCGGAUGAACAAAGACGAUGCUAUUGAUUCCGGUCUACAGACACAGGUUGUACGCCUGUCGUUUCUUUGGUGCAUCUCAAAAAGACCGAGUGACCCAGAAGCACAUUUUCCUUGUAUCUCAUGGGCGCCGAAAGCUGAAAGGAGCUGAAGGAGAAUGUCACCAUUGUGUCGCGCUACGGAACGAGACGGACGCGGUGGGCUCUGAUGGUUUUGGGCUCUUGGGAGAACCAGCCCGGGAGGCCGUGCCCGUGCUGCUGGCUCACACCCGUGGGGGAGCCCCUCUAUCCCGGCCACUCCGACUCCCGCGGCUGCAGAAACUCAUGCCUUGCUUGGUGGGAAUAACCGAUACCCCUGUGGGGCUGGAAGCGUGGAAGAGAAAGAGGAGGCCAAAGGAGACGACAGCUUCAAGUAAUUCUUGGCGAUGAGUUGGAGAAGCCGGGCGCUGUGGAAUCCCAGCCUUCCUCCUUCCCGCCCUCCAAUCGUGCAUCCUCUGGAGCUCCAGCUUUGAGGAGCCCAAGCUCUUGCGAAACUGAAUCUUAGGGACACGGAACCUCACCCAGAUCUAUCUCAGAGGGUGAUGAGGGGAAAAGGACUCUCCAGACAAGCUCAGGAUGGUACCCGGCUCUUUGGCACACGCAAUGCUCGUACCUUCUUUCCACAACCUCCUGACUUGGGACUUCACUUCUGUGUGCUCCCCGGCUCCUUAGGAGUCCCUGAUUCAGGUAUUUCUCAGCUGCAUGGAGCAUCACCAAGUCCUGGAGCCCCUGGGUUGGGGGGGCAGGGGUGAGUCAACCUCCACGCUCCUUGGCCUCCUGUGGCUGUUUUCCUGCUCAGAAUCCACUCGCUCCUCUCUGAUGACCACACCCCAGUAUUGCUCUGGGGGUCCACCCAUAAUCCACUUUCAUUCCAUCAGCUUCUGGGGGUUUUGGCUUCUUGGAGGUACAGAACAUAUGACUCAAAUCUGGCCAAUCAGGGUGUCUUUCUUCCCUGGCCAGGGACCCUUAUGACUCAAUCGAAGUAAAUAAAAUGAAAUCCUAUUGGGCUUAAAGUCUGGAA
rnacentral:lncRNA from 1 species